rnacentral:rRNA from 1 species
UACGUAGGGUGCGAGCGUUGUCCGGAAUUACUGGGCGUAAAGAGCUUGUAGGUGGUUUGUCGCGUUGUUCGUGAAAUCUCACGGCUUAACUGUGAGCGUGCGGGCGAUACGGGCAGACUAGAGUACUGCAGGGGAGACUGGAAUUCCUGGUGUAGCGGUGGAAUGCGCAGAUAUCAGGAGGAACACCGGUGGCGAAGGCGGAUCUCUGGGCCGAUACUGACGCUGAGGAGCGAAAGCGUGGGGAGCGAACAGG